UACGGGAGGCAGCGGUGGGGAAUAUUGCACAAUGGGCGCAAGCCUGAUGCAGCCAUGCCGCGUGUAUGAAGAAGGCCUUCGGGUUGUAAAGUACUUUCAGUCGUGAGGAAGGUGUUAAGGUUAAUAACCUUAGCAAUUGACGUUAGCGACAGAAGAAGCACCGGCUAACUCCGUGCCAGCAGCCGCGGUAAUACGGAGGGUGCGAGCGUUAAUCGGAAUUACUGGGCGUAAAGGGCACGCAGGCGGUUAAUUAAGUUGGAUGUGAAAUCCCCGGGCUUAACCUGGGAAUGGCAUUCAAGACUGGUUAGCUAGAGUCUUGUAGAGGGGGUAGAAUUCCGAUGUGUAGCGGUGAAAUGCGUAGAGAUGUGGAGGAAUACCGGUGGCGAAGGCGGCCCCUGGACAAAGACUGACGCUCAUGUGCGAAAGCGUGGGGAGCAAACAGGGAUUAGAUACC
rnacentral:rRNA from 1 species